rnacentral:rRNA from 1 species
GACGAACGCUGGCGGCGUGCCUAACACAUGCAAGUCGAGCGGGGUUCCCAUCGGUGGCAACACCGUUGGGCGCCUAGCGGCGAACGGGUGAGUAACACGUGAGGAACCUGCCCCGGACUUCGGGAUAACUCGGGGAAACUCGAGCUAAUACCGAAUACCUUCUUCAGAUCGCAUGGCCUGAUGAAGAAAGAUUUAUCGGUCCGGGAGGGCCUCGCGGCCUAUCAGCUUGUUGGUGGGGUAACGGCCCACCAAGGCUACGACGGGUAGCUGGUCUGAG